UACGUAGGGGCCUAGCGUUGUCCGGAUUUAUUGGGCGUAAAGAGCUCGUAGGCGGUUCGGUAAGUCAGGUGUGAAAUCUCCACGCUCAACGUGGAGGCGCCACCUGAAACUGCCGUGACUAGAGUCCGGUAGGGGAGUGUGGAAUUACCGGUGUAGCGGUGGAAUGCGUAGAGAUCGGGAAGAACACCCGUGGCGAAGGCGACCUACUGGGCUGCGACUGACGCUGAGGCAUGAAAGCGUGGGGAGCAAACAGG
rnacentral:rRNA from 1 species